AUGGCUUCUGAAGUGACGAGUAACAGUAAUCAUGCCAGGUUAAUCCAAGCUCAGUCCGUUGGUAUGCCCCAUGGCUGGAUUUGCUUGCUUUGCUGUGUACUGGAGGUGCUCAAUGAAAUCCGUCAGUUUGCUCUUGGUCUUGGAGGAUUACGGAAGAGGAUAUGUAGAUCCUUCCAAUCCCUACUCCCUAGCAAUGUACUAGAAGUUAUAAAUGGUGGUCAGUAUCAGCCACUACAUGUCGGAGCUGUUGCGGGAGCACCAGAAGCUUGUCCUGUUUCACGCAGGUGCUACCAAUCUACAUCAAGCUGUUGGGCCACGAGAUAA
rnacentral:rRNA from 1 species